rnacentral:rRNA from 1 species
GAUGAACGCUAGCGAUAGGCUUAACACAUGCAAGUCGAGGGGCAGCAUGGUCUUAGCUUGCUAAGACUGAUGGCGACCGGCGCACGGGUGCUUAACGCUUAUGCAACUUGCCUCUCAUAGGGGGAUAACCCGUCUAAAGACGUACUAAUACCGCGUACACUCCAUCUUGUUCAUCCAAGGUAGAGGAAAUUAAAUUCGCUGUUAGAUAGGCAUGCGUCCCAUUAGCUAGUUGGUGAGGUAACGGCUCACCAAGGCGACGAUGGGUAGGGGAACUUAGAGGUUGAAACACCACAAUGGUAAUGAGACACGGACGAGACUCGUACGGGAGGCAGCAGUGAGGAAUAUUGGUCAAUGGGCGAGAGCCUGAAAAAGCCAAGUCGCGUGAAGGAUGACUGUGUUAUGGAUAGUAAACUUCUUUUAUACGAGAAUAACAAGAGUAACGAGUGACUAAGUGAAGGUACCGUAUGAAUAAGCAACGGCUAACUACGUG